AGCAAAAACAACUGCACUACUUCUCUUACAAAAGAAAGAUUCGAUCUUCAGAAUUCUGAAGCUAACCGAACUUCCAUGGCUCUCUUAACUAGCUUCGUUAGUUGCUUUUCUGUUUCUAAUAAGGUUGCUUCCGAGGGAGAGGACAGUCCACGAGCAUCAACCAAAGUUAAAGCUGGUAGUGAAGCCAAAUCAAAGGAAAGCAAGGCUAAGAAAAGCCCUCCAAUUCCGAUGACUUACUUCCCCAUUGGAACAACAUUUUCUCGCUUGUGAAUUGUUGCAGCCUAAUUUACUGCCCUUGCAUGUCAGCUGCUCCAAGGGCCUAUAUAUAUAUAUAUAUAUAUAUAUAUAUAUAUAUUAUAUCACCAUUCUUGUUCUUUCUUUUAAAAAUUCUAUUAAUUUCUUUUCAUCUUCGACAAUAUUAAUGAUGUUUGUUCGAGGAAACCUACACUAGAGUCAUUGGUUCUUUUCUCUAGUAGGAUUAAAGGAAAUAAGUUGGAGUUUUAGCAGGCAGUUGUUAUAGGCUUAUAGCUUGUUAAUGAGUAAUGUUUUUAAGUUCUCACCUGUAGAUUCUAAAAUGAAAAGAGAAAGAAUUUGAUUAACAAACCAAUUGAAUUUUUUUCUUUACUAAAUUUCAAUUUUUGAUAAAUCAUGUAGUAUUUGAAUUGAAUUUUAAUUUGAGCUCAAAUACUUUCCUUUUCCCCCUUCAAAAGAGAGAUGAAAGUACAAUAUGUCAAUGCCCAAAUGAAGCAGUUUAGAAGAAUAUGCAUGUGUUUUACUUGUAAGUAAUAAAAUAGAGAGAAAAAGCAGCAAUUGAAUAAGUAGAGGUGUAGUAGACGUAGCAAAAUAACAUCAAUUGCUAUAAGAAUAUACUGUACAGAAUACAUCGAUGUUUCUAGCUAGCUAGAAUUUAUAGUUGUUAUAUUUGGCUCUCAAUCUUAUGAUGAUCAGUAUCUCACAGGCAAAGCAACGCUAAACAAUAACAUCAUUGCCGACACACGCUUCUCAACUUUUGUUUUAUUCUGCACUUUUUCGUACGUAGCAUUUAAUUAGCAACCAAACCCCAUCCUCCAUGGUUCAUGGACAUCAAUGUUACGAGUGCAUUGGGGACUCCGGAGAAGGAAGAAGUUGCUUUUUUUUGCAUAUUGGAAAGAUGCCUUGAAACUGUUAUAAUGCAAUUGAUGAUAUUUUCUUAGCAUUGAUUUUUAGAGUCUAAAUGAUGUCUCAUAUCCAAAUGGUUCAUGAAAUUUUUGCAUGUAAUAAUAAAAUUAAUUACCAAAUUACUGCUCAAUUUAGAAAAAAAAAAAAAGAACUUGAUAUUAAAGUAAUUGAUAUAAAAGUAAGUGUUUAUAGAAAAGAAAUCUUUAAUCUUUAGCUCUUACCUUGGACAAUUGACUUUUUAACUUUUCCUACGAAUCAUCUGAUGAAACACAAAUGAGCUGAUUAUUUCACAAACACAUAAGUGAUAUAGUUUUAAAUUAUAAGUUUUCUCAAACAAUAAAAAUGAUGGGUGACUGUGACUCUAAGUGAAACAACAAAAAAAUUUUCUUCGAUCCCUUCCAUUAAUAUUUCAACUGUAGAGUUGAAAAUGGCAUCGAUAAAAAGAUGGUUAACUCUGACUGCGAUUGGAUUAUUAAAAUAAUCUAAUGAUAAGAAAAUUAAAAAAUAAAACUUAUCUUUCAAAUUCAAAAUAGUAAAAGACAAAUCUAAUCAAUUUUAGUAGAGAUAUACAUUCAAAACUUACAAGAUAUAUAUAUAUAUAUAUAUAUUCUUAAAUUUUGGCUAAAUUUAAAAGAUAAAGAUAAAUUUUGAAUUUGAUUUUUUGAAUUCAAAAUUUAUACAAAAUUUUUAAUCUUCGAUAGAUUUUUAUUUUGAAUUUAAAUAAUUGAUUAAAUAUAAUUAUUUUAUAAAUCAAUUUUAGAGGAUGAUAUAUCUAUGAGAUUUUUAAAUUUAACAAUACAUAUAGUUAGAUUAUUAGAAAAUCCAUUUUUACAAAAUAAUAUAUCUAAAUUAGAUUGUUACUAAUAAUUUAAAAAUUAUCCAUGUAGAUAUAUUUUGUCAUUAUAGCAAAAAUUUAAGAAUUUUAUACGUGUCAAAAAAAGAAAUCAUCCACCUAAACAUCCAUAUAAAUAAUUUUUAUCAUGUAAUUUUAUAUGUUGUAAUAUAAUAUAUACUUGCUUGUAACCCAUGCAAUGUAUAAAUUAUUUUACUUAUUUAACUAUGUGUUUAUAUCGUAAAAUUUGUAUUUUUCCUACAAUUAUAUGUCUUUAAAAUUUUAUGACAUAUAUAAAAUAGAAAUAUAUAUUCAAUUAACAUGUCAUAAAAAAAUUAAAUUUUAUUAUUAUUAUCUUGAUCAAAAUUCUUAAAAUAAAUGUGAAAAAAAAAAGAAAUAUUAGAUAUGGAUUGAAAAGUAAAAAAGAAUUGAAUAUAAUAUAAUCUAUAUAAAUAUAAUCUUAAUCUUCCCAUUCAUUAUGUUCUUCAUUCCUCACUUUUCAUUUUUUAAAAAAAGAAAUUCAAAGAAUUCGUCGAAUAUGAAGAUGUCUUUAAUAAAACUUCCCAACUUCAUUGGUCAUCCGGUUGUCUCUCACUAAAAAUCAGGACACUUUGAAGAGUUCCAGUUGACCAUCUCCAUUUGCUACUGUAUUGCUAUAUCUAAUAAUGUAUACAAUGACUCUUUUAAAAUAAAAUUUUCUUUUACUUUUUAUGUUACGUAAAUCCAGUUUGAUUGUUUGUUUUUAAAUAUACAUUUAUAGAAUAGUUGAAUGUAGGGAAAAUAAAGCUAUUAUGCUUCAUGCUCAUUUAUAAAUAUUAAAGCAUACUUGCUAUAUUAGAAGAAGACAAGUGUGAACUUUUACCUUAAUGCAUUGUCUGUCUUUAUUAAAGUUUGUAAAAAUUUAUCUUAAAAAAAAAAAAAAAAACUAGCUAAAUACAAAAUGGCAGCAGCGUGUGGGAAUUACCUAAUUAUUAUUAUAUUACAAUAAGACAAGUAUAUAAACUUUUACCUUAUUAUAAAUUAUGCAUUGUCUAUCUUUAUUAAAGUUUGUAAGAAUUUAUCUUAAAAUAAAACACCCAAAUACAAAACAGCACCAACGUACGGAAACAACCUAGUUAUUAUCAUAUUACGCUAUGUUUGAAAAAUGAUUUUAGAUUGCUUGCUAACUUCACUAUCAAGUAUUGAAGAAGAAAAAAAAAAAAAAAAAACUUAACUAUCAAGUAAUCACAUUCAACACCAGCUGCUCAUUGUUGAAAUUUUCAACUUGACCCAUGGCGGCUUGUUGACCCCCAUGAAACACCACACUUACAUACAAGUAUUUCAUUCCGGUUAGGCAUCAAAAUCAACCUGAUCGUCCAGGAUCAUGCAUCUUUCCUCUUCGUUAGACUCUUCUGCGAAAUAUGCAAGAAAAUUCUUCAACUUUCUCCUUCCUGUUCCUGGAUGUACCUGGCCACAACCCAACAAGCCACCACCUUAUAUAAAGAGACCCCAAGAAAUUAUGCCCACCAACAUAGCAAAAACUACUACACUACUUCUCUUACAAAAGAAAGAUCCGAUCUUCAGAAUUCUGAAAGUUAACCGAAUUUCCAUGGCUCUCUUAACUAGCUUCGUUAGUUGCUUUUCUGGUUCUUACAAGGUUGCUUCCGAGGGAGAGGACAGUCCACGAGCAUCAACCAAAGUCAAGGCUGGUAGUGAAGCCAAAUCAAAGGAAAAGAAGGCUAAGAAAAGCCCUCCAAUUCCGAUGACUUACUUCCCCAUUGGAACAACAUUUUCUCGCCUGUGAAUUGUCGCAACCUGCUUAAUUUACUGCCCUUAUAUGUCAGCUGCUCCAAGGGCCUCUAUAUAUAUAUAUAUAUAUAUAUAUAUAUAUAUUGUGUCUCCAUUCUUUUUCUUUCUUUUAAAAGUUCUAUUAAUUUCUUUUCGUCUUCGACAAUAUUAAUAAUGUUUGUUUGAUGAAAUCUACACUUUAGUUAUUGAAUUUUUUUUCCUAAGUAGGAUUAAAGGAAG
rnacentral:lncRNA from 1 species